rnacentral:rRNA from 1 species
UACGAAGGGGGCUAGCGUUGCUCGGAAUCACUGGGCGUAAAGCGCACGUAGGCGGAUUGUUAAGUCAGGGGUGAAAUCCUGGAGCUCAACUCCAGAACUGCCUUUGAUACUGGCGAUCUUGAGUUCGGGAGAGGUGAGUGGAACUGCGAGUGUAGAGGUGAAAUUCGUAGAUAUUCGGAGGAACACCAGUGGCGAAGGCGGCUCACUGGUCCGGUACUGACGCUGAGGUGCGAAAGCGUGGGGAGCAAACAGG